GCUGAUGUAGCUCAGUUGGUAGAGCAGCUCAUUCGUAAUGAGCAGGUCGUAGGUUCAAUUCCUAUCAUCAGCUCCA
rnacentral:tRNA from 1 species